AUUGAACGCUGGCGGCAGGCCUAACACAUGCAAGUCGAACGAGUGGCGGACGGGUGAGUAAUGUCUGGGAAACUGCCUGAUGGAGGGGGAUAACUACUGGAAACGGUAGCUAAUACCGCAUACCAUCGGAUGUGCCCAGAUGGGAUUAGCUUGUUGGUGGGGUAACGGCUCACCAAGGCGACGAUCCCUAGCUGGUCUGAGAGGAUGGCCAGCCACCCUAGAACGGAGACACGGUCCAGACUCAAACGGGAGGCAGCAGUGGGGAAUGUUGCAUAAGGGGCGCAAGCCUGAUGCAGCCAGGCCGCGUGUAUGAAGAAGGCCUGCGGGUUGGAAAGUACUUUUAGCGGGGAGGCUUUACCCGCAGAAGAAGCACCGGCUAACUCCGUGCCAGCAGCCGCGGUAAUUC
rnacentral:rRNA from 1 species